rnacentral:rRNA from 1 species
ACGUACGGCCACAGGUACUGGAGAACUCGGGAUCCCGUCCGCUCUCCCUUAGAUAAGCCAGUAACCGCUGGAUUAGUAGCUGGGUCGGUGACGACCAGCGAAUCCCCGGUGCCGUACGUC